CCAACGAUGGCUUAGUCGGUAGCGUGCGCGACUCUCACGCGGGGGUCACCGGUUAGAAAACGGUUCGGGA
rnacentral:tRNA from 1 species